GUGUUCUUCUUACAGAAAUACCAAACAACAUUUUGCAAGGAUUUAAAGGUCAUUGGUGAAAAUGGAAGAAAGGACAUGGGUACAUCUAAUUUUAAAUGAAAUAACAAGAAUAAUUAAAUGAUUUACAACCAAGCAGCACUCAGCAAUAGUGAUGAAAAGUGAAACAAGAUUUUUGAUAGAUAGAAAAUAGAAGAAAAGGAAAAGGUUAAACAAGAUUUAGUGCCUGCCACACAAUUAAGAAAGAAUGAGAGGCAAGAAUGUCUACAGAACAGAGGAGAUUAUUUGUACUGCACUUCGAUUUGUGUUUUAGUUAUAUUCAAUUAGUAUUAAAGAGUUAUGUACAAUAAAUCAUG